rnacentral:lncRNA from 1 species
UUGGAUGGAGGGAAUAUAAGUCAAAUAGAAUAAAAGGUGUCCAAAAAUCUCUGCUUUUUAUUAAAACUCAUUUGAUUGUCGCUGGAUGAUUGAAGAAGACAGGUGCAUUUAAAUAGGGAAUAUUAACAAAGCUGGAUAUGUCAUUAAGAAUGAUUGAUGAUGGUUUGGGAGUUUGGUGAUGUUUUGAAGAGCUUUGGAGUAUUAAAGAGUUUAAAAAGAGAGAAGAAAUGCAUUAAAUGAUUUUUAUAUAUAGUAAAUGUCUUAAUAACAAACUUUAUUGUUGGUUUUAUUUUGAAAUAAUGAUUAAAUCACUGUUUCCAGAGACCCCAAUAUAAUUUUUCCUAAAUCUUCAUUACAACAGUUCAACAAUCCAUCAAAGUUUUUCAUUUCAUGUUUUAAGAAGCUAAAAAUUAGGUUUAGCAAGGGUGAAAUUUAUAGACAACAACAAUUUGAAGGAUCAAAUUGCAACAUUUAUGAAGUUUUAAACUUUAAAUGAGAUAUAUGACCUCAUUUUAGAGUCUAUUCACAAAAAUCAUGUACACAACUCAAUGUGCAAAGGAAGAAAAAAAAAAUAUAUAUAUAUAUAUAUGUAAGAAAGAGACCUUUCAUUUUGACUUGUAAUAAAUGAUACAGACUUUGGGUACCUAUUGUAACUUUAAAUGUCUGCUUGGUAAGUUUUGCAAAUACAUGCAAAGAGUUUCACAUUGCAGUAAGUCUUUGUGCAAAGGAUUUGUCAGAAAAAAUUCAGAAAUUUUCAAUCAUCUCAACCCAUAACAAUCAGUUAUUGUGAUUUUAUCAAUAUAUAUAUAUAUAUAUAUAUAUAUAUAUUAUGAGACUUUAUAUUUAAAAGCUUAAGCGCAUGUGUAUUUAGUGCAGUUCUUUAGUAUUUUAAGGUCAUUUUACACCAUAUAGUAUUUUUUGACAAAUUCAUUAUUUGAAUUUUCUACAUGUGUUAGAAAUAAGUUGUCAGUUUAUUAAUUGUGAUAUGUUCUUUUCCUUUUGAUGUUAUUUGCAGCCUUUUUGUUAAUCAAUACCAAAAUGGCAUAAAAUUAACAAAAAAAUGUAGCUUUACUUACAUAAACUUAUAUUAUUGAUUCUCUCUCUUUCUACAUAUACAUAUAUAUAUAUAUAUAUAUAUGAUUAAAGUAAAAUUUAGUGAAGUUCCUCUCAAGCAAUACCUAAAUGUCAAAAACUUUUUGCUCUACCAAUUGAAUUAUCAAAUUUCAUAAUGAUUAUACUGCUUACAAUUUAAGCAUAUUUCAAGACCACAAAAUUGAUAGAAAUAUUGAAAUUACAAUCUACUAGUUAUUAUUUUUUGUUUCUGUGGAUGUAUACUCUUCUUUUCUACUACUUGAUUUUCUUGUAGCCACAAGUAAUCUCCUUUCUCGUAAAAUAGCCCACUCCUUCUUAUUUAUUAAUAUAUCCUAAUAAGUAUAUUUAGCUUGGGUUGAGUCAUUUGCAUUUAUUAUUCUUAAAACCAUAAGCUAAAACAUCAUGUUGUGGGCAAGCAAAAGGAGGUCAAGAUUAUAGCUUGAAAGAGACUUGAAUUCUACAUCAUGAGACCAACAGUAAAAUUCCAAUACAGAAUUUAUCAAAGAAUAUGACUUGCUAGAAGCAAAAAAAAUGGAAGGCAUAGCCUAAUUUGUGAAGAAUAUCAAAUAUAGGGUUUCAAACAUGGCAUUUUUGCAAAAACAAAUAAUUGGGAUUCAGUACUUGAUAUUUCAAAUCCAAAAUAUCAUUGUUUAAACUUUAUUACCCCAUAGUAUAGAGUCAAAGAAGGAAGAGAGCUGAGAUAAGCAAUGCAGUUUUUGAUAUUUGACCUACCCCUCAUUUGAUAUUUUGAUUUCAAAAUCACCCAUCUCACAAGGUGGAUGAUUUGGUGAAAUAUCAAAUAAUAUUUGUGUUGAGU